CCGAUGGCUGUCCUGCAUACCUGGACCAUAAUCAGGGAUUCUACACCUAGUAAAUUAUUGGAGUAAAUUGUUCCUCGCGAGGCACUUCAAUAAUGCUUCUCGUCUGAAAUUCCUUUUUGUUUUGUUUGUGUGUAAGUAACAAAAACGUUAGCCGACAAACUGUUAAGUCGUGUCCUAGAUGUUUUGCAGCUUUUCAUCUCUAUUGGUUGUUAAUUUCUGUUUCCUGUUUAUGGACUCGAAUAUGUUUGUUGUAUACGAGCUAAUUGGUAUGGUGGUUCAUAUACUCGUGAUUAGAUAAAUGCACUUACGAUUGAAACCCAAUUUAUACUAAUUGAACUAUAUUUAUGUUUAACUAUAUAUUAAUGCGUAAAACGUUUCUUGGUAUGACAGACUGCUGUUGAGAAAGUUUUUGUUCUGCAAAAAACUUAGCUGGGUUGAUUCUUGAGGGCUUGGAUCGAUUGGCAACUUGAGGAUAAAAUUGGAAGCACAAUAAGAGCGUUGUUCAACAGGAUCGCGGUUCUCUUGUCAUAUAAAUUCAAUCUCGGUGCUUCUGGACUGCAUAUAGCUAGUUUUAUAGUGUUUCUCUUUCUGAAGGUGUUAAUGCUUCAACAUGCAUAACUGCCAAAUUGAGAAGCCUUUGCAUAUGGAAACAACUUGUGGCUCUCUUCUCUCUGAGAUGCAGAAAAUAUGGGAUGAGAUGGGAGAGCCAGAUAUCGAAAGAGAUAAGAUGCUUUUUGAACUUCAACAAGAGUGCCUGGAGGUAUAUUGAAGAA